AUGGACAACGCGUCCACUGCGGUUGUGAGCGCGCCGUCCGCACCCACCUGACGACUGCGCGCUACGUUUUGUUCGCC
rnacentral:sRNA from 1 species